AAGCAAUUAAAAGUUUGGUUAGGGUUUUGGAGUCAAAUAUGACUAGAUGUCAUGUGUAUGAUUGAGUAUAAGAACUAGAACCGCAAUCGGUUCCCAAAAGCUAAAGUAGAGUUUCCCUUC
rnacentral:sRNA from 1 species